UACGAAGGGGGCUAGCGUUGCUCGGAUUGACUGGGCGUAAAGGGCGCGUAGGCGGUUCGUUCAGUCAGACGUGAAAUUCCUGGGCUCAACCUGGGGGCUGCGUUUGAUACGUGCGGACUUGAGUGCGGAAGAGGGUCGUGGAAUUCCCAGUGUAGAGGUGAAAUUCGUAGAUAUUGGGAAGAACACCGGUGGCGAAGGCGGCGACCUGGUCCGAUACUGACGCUGAGGCGCGAAAGCGUGGGGAGCGAACAGG
rnacentral:rRNA from 1 species